rnacentral:rRNA from 1 species
GAUGAACGCUGGCGGCGUGCCUAAUACAUGCAAGUCGAGCGAACAGACGAGGAGCUUGCUCCUCUGACGUUAGCGGCGGAAGGGUGAGUAACACGUGGAUAACCUACCUAUAAGACUGGGAUAACUUCGGGAAACCGGAGCUAAUACCGGAUAAUAUAUUGAACCGCAUGGUUCAUUAGGAAAAUACGGUUUUGCUGCCACUCAUAGAUGAACCCGCGCGGCAUUAGCAAGUUGGUAAGGUAACGGCUUACCAAGGCAACGAUGCGUAGCCGACCUGAGAGGGUGAUCGGCCACACUGGAACUGCGACGCGGUCCAGACUCCUACGAGAGGCAGCAGUAGGGAAUCUUCCGCAAUGGGCGAAAGCCUGACGGAGCAACGCCGCGUGAGUGAUGAAGGUCUUCGGAUCGUAAAACUCUGUUAUUAGGGAAGAACAAAUGUGUAAGUAACUAUGCACGUCUUGACGGUACCUAAUCAGAAAGCCACGGCUAACUCCGUG